UAAGCCAUGCGAAGUCGAGAGGUGUAAGACCUCGGCAUACUGCUCAGUAACACGUGGUUAACCUGCCCUAAGGUGGAGAAUACUCCCGGGAAACUGGGGCUAAUGCUCCAUAGUGGGUGCAUCCUGGAAUGGUGCAUCCUCGAAAGAUCCGUCGCCUUAGGAUAGGACUGCGUCCGAUUAGGUUGUUGGCGAGGUAACGGCCCACCAAGCCAUUGAUCGGUACGGGUUGUGGGAGCAAGAUCCUGGAGAUGGAUUCUGAGACAUGAAUCCAGGCCCUACGGGGCGCAGCAGGCGCGCAAACUUUACAAUGCGAGCAAUCGUGAUAAGGAAACCCUGAGUGCCUGUCGAUGCAGGCUGUUCAUAUAUCUAAAUCAUAUGUGAAGAAAGGGCAGGGCAAGACCGGUGCCAGCCGCCGCGGUAAUACCGGCUGCUCGAGUGAUGGCCACUAUUACUGGGUUUAAAGCGUCCGUAGCUUGACUGCUAGGUCCCUUGGGAAAUCUUCACGCUUAACGUGAAGGCGUCUAAGAGAUACCGGCAGUCUUGGAACUGGGAGAGGUAAACCGUACUUCGGGGGUAGGAGUGAAAUCUUGUAAUCCUCGAGGGACGACCUAUGGCGAAGGCAGUUUACCAGAACAGCUUCGACAGUGAGGGACGAAAGCUGGGGGAGCAAACGGGAUUAGAUACCCCGGUAGUCCCAGCCGUAAACAAUGUGCGUUAGGUGUGUCGGUAACCACGCGUUACUGAUGCGCCGAAGAGAAAUCGUGAAACGCACCACCUGGGAAGUACGGUCGCAAGGCUGAAACUUAAAGGAAUUGGCGGGGGAGCACCACAACAGGUGGAGCCUGCGGUUUAAUUGGAUUCAACGCCGGACAUCUCACCGGAUAAGACAGCUGUAUGAUUGUCAAUCUGAAGGUUUUACAUGACUAGCU
rnacentral:rRNA from 1 species